rnacentral:ncRNA from 1 species
ACAUUAAAUAAUAAAAUUAUUUAUGGUUUAAAAAUUUAUUAUAAAUUUAUUUUACAUAUAAAUUUUAGUGUUAAUUUUUAAUUUAUUUAAAUAAUAAUUAAUAUUUAUUUGUAGUAAUUAGAAUUAAAAAUUUAAGUAAUUAAGAUUUAGUAAUAUUUAAAUUAAUAACAAAUUUUGUGCCAGCAGUUGCGGUUAUACAAAAAUUAAAUUAAAUUUUUUUAGGGAUUAAUUAAUAAUAGAUUAUAUAAUAAAAUUAAAAUUUAAAUUAUUAAGUGAAAUUUUAAUUUAUGAAAAUUUUAUAUUGAAUUAUGAAUUAAAAAAUUUUAUUAAAAACUAGGAUUAGAUACCCUAUUAUUAAAAAUUUAAAUUAAUAAUACUAAAAUAGUAUAUAAUUAUUUAUAAAAACUUAAAUAAUUUGGCGGUAUUUUAGUUUAUUUAGAGGAAUCUGUUUAUUAAUUGAUAUUCCACGAAUAAAUUUACUUAAUUUAUUUAAUUUUGUAUAUCGUUGUUAAAAAAAUAUUUUAAAAUAAUAAUAAUAUUUUAAUUUUUAUAUUAAAAGUUAAAUCAGAUCAAGAUGCAGAUUAUAAUUAAGAAUAUAAUGGAUUACAAUAAAUUUAUUUAAUUGGAUGUUAUUUUUAAAAAUUAAUUGAAAUUGGAUUUAAAUGUAAUUUUAUUUAAUUUAUUAAAAUGAUUUUAAUUUAAAAUAUGUACAUAUUGCCCGUCGCUUUCAUUAAUAAAUUGAAAUAAGUCGUAACAAAGUAGAGGUACUGGAAAGUGUUUCUAGAAAGAGUA